ACUGUGUUAGACAUGUGGCAUGUGGUAUCCCACUAUAAGUUUGAAUUAGUAAAUUUUAAAAAAAUUAUAUUUUAACUUGCAUUUCUUUUGACGUUCAUGUUUAUAUAAUUAGAUUACAACUAAGUUUGUGUAUGGCUUGUUUAUAUUAUUUCAGAAUUUGCUAUUUUAGACACUUGGUAUAAGCUGUCAUACUAAUUUGCUGUUUUAGACACGUGACUUGUGAUAUUCCACUAAUUAGCUAUUUUAAACAUGUGCCAAGUGGUAUGACAUUGUAUUGAUGUAUGUGAAAUGUAUAGAGUCUUUCAGUUAUCAGAUAAUGUCAAGAAAACGAUAUCAGAGAUAAUUAAAAUAAC